UACGAAGGGGGCUAGCGUUGCUCGGAAUCACUGGGCGUAAAGGGUGCGUAGGCGGGUCUUUAAGUCAGGGGUGAAGUACUGAGCUCAACUCCAGAACUGCCUUUGAUACUGAGGAUCUUGAGUUCGGGAGAGGUGAGUGGAACUGCGAGUGUAGAGGUGAAAUUCGUAGAUAUUCGCAAGAACACCAGUGGCGAAGGCGGCUCACUGGCCCGAUACUGACGCUGAGGUGCGAAAGCGUGGGGAGCAAACAGG
rnacentral:rRNA from 1 species